rnacentral:rRNA from 1 species
CAGCCGCCGCGGUAAUACCGGCGGCCCGAGUGGCGGUCACUAUUAUUGGGCUUAAAGCGUCCGGAGCCGGGUUGGGAAGUCCUCCGGGAAAUCUGGCCGCUUAACGGUCAGAAUGCCGGAGGAUACUCCCAGCCUAGGGAGCGGGGGAGGCCGAGGGGAUUCCCGGAGUAGGGGGGAAAUCCUAUAAUCCCGGGAGGACCACCUGUGGCGAAGGCGCUCGGCUGGAACGCGUCCGACGGUGAGGGACGAAGGCCAGGGGAGCAAACCGGAUUAGAUACCCGGGUAGUCCUGGCUGUAAACGAUGCGGACUUUGUGUCGGACAAGCUAUGAGCUUGUCCGGUGCCGGAGGGAAACCGUUAAGUCCGCCGCCUGGGGAGUACGGCCGCAAGGCUGAAACUUAAAGGAAUUGGCGGG